AUUCGAACACCCAGCCCUAGAUCGAUUUUCUUCCAAAUCCUCCCCCAAAUCCAUUCUUUAACAUCUGGCGAAAUUGGCAGAUCUUUUUUGCCUUCAUAGCAACACCGGACGUUGGUCGUUUCUUCAUCUUCACCCUCAUAGCAACACCAAACUAACGAUGGAUCCUUCGGAUAGGGAGUUGGUGUUGGAAUAAUGUACAUGAUGUCAAGUGGAAAGGCUGAAAUCAGCAGGUUGACCUCGGCAAUGGACGAGACUACAAAGGCUGUUCAAGAAUUAAAAGCUGAAAUAUCUAGAAGAAAAGCUUCCUGUCAUCUGCACCAUUCAAUUUCUCAGAACGAAGCUUCAACAAAUAAAAUGCACACUGAUGGAAGUUACGGUAGACAACUAUUGACUAACAACAUGGAUAACAUCAAAGCUUAUACUCUAACUGCCAAAGGUGAAGGUGUAAGUGUGGAUCUAACGAAAGACCAGCAGCUCGAGGCGGUAGAAAUAGAUCAAGCAUGCAAGCUUGUUGUAUGCUAAUUGACAUUUGUUUUAGUAGUCCACUUUGCUUGUAAUGAAGUUUUUAUAUAUGUUGAAAUGUUUCUAAUGAUCUUAUGGUGUCUUUGAAAGGAAAGAUUGUGUUGUCCAUUUGUGCGCAUAGUGAUUUCAAAAUGUGGAAUUGUUUCUAAUGAUGUUAUAUAUUUAUUUUUGUGUUUUCGAGAA